UACGUAGGUGACCAGGCGUUGUCCGGAUUUACUGGGCGUAAAGGGCGCGUAGGCGGUCAGCACAAGUCAGUUGUGAAAUCUCCGGGCUUAACUCGGAAAGGUCAACUGAUACUGUGCGACUAGAGUGCGGAAGGGGCAACUGGAAUUCUCGGUGUAGCGGUGAAAUGCGUAGAUAUCGAGAGGAACACCUGCGGCGAAGGCGGGUUGCUGGGCCGACACUGACGCUGAUGCGCGAAAGCCAGGGGAGCGAACGGG
rnacentral:rRNA from 1 species